CGCAACGUGCAUCGAAUACACAUUAUAUCUCUUUGAGUUUGUGAAAAAAGAAUGAAAUCCAGCCACGUCAUGUGUAUUGCUUUUUUUCUCGCCGUUAUGUGCGGAAAAUAAGGGGAAGUUGUUACAAGGACAAACAGAUAAGUAGUAAAACAUUUACCAAAAGGUUAUUCAGGAAUUCAUUGUUUGAGGAGUGGAGGAAUUUGUACGAAAAGCUAUUGUUUUAAGGGGUAUUUUGAGGACCAUUUGCUACACGAAGACUGUUGUUCUCCUGAAAGAUGUUGUCUUCCCUUGAGGCAUCAAAAGCCAUCAAAUUUUCCAAGUUACUAGAACUCGAUCAGCAUGAAAUGACAACCUCAAAACCACGGUAUUAAUGAU